AAUGAGUCGAACCUGUUGAUGAACAUGUGCGCCUGAUUUUAAAGGUUCUCACCUAGGACACAGAGGAGAUGGUGUGUCAGAUGGAAAAGCCCAGCAAUGACUUGACAAAAGACCCAACGUAAGCCUCAGUUAUGUGAAGAAUGAGCCAUGUGCUACAGAUUCCCAUCCCAAAGCCCUUGUUGUGCAAUGAAUGUGAUCAGCAGAGCCAGUGAAAAACCAAAGAGGCAGACUUGGAAAAAAGAAAACCAACCAACAAGCUUGUUAUUUGGAUAACAUGAGAGCAGACUAUGAAACCUGGAAUAAGGAGAUAGAGGAAAAGCAGUAGGACUUUUGGGGAAGUAAAGCUGCAGUACAUAAUCCUACUUAAGCCGGUGCAUGGAGGUUUGGGUAAGACCAUUUAUAAAAGAGUGGACAACAGGAAAACUACAAGCUUGGGAGCUACAGAGUUCAUAAAAGCAGUAACAUUUGUGGUUGAAUUUAUGUAUCA
rnacentral:lncRNA from 12 species